rnacentral:rRNA from 1 species
CUGACCUGCCCAGUGAUGAAUUUAACGGCCGCGGUAUAUUGACCGUGCAAAGGUAGCAUAAUCAUUAGUCUUUUAAUAGAGGGCUGGAAUGAAAGGUUUAACGAGGAAUUGACUGUCUCAUUUUAUUUGUUUUAAAAUUUAAUUUUUUAGUUAAAAAGCUAAAAUUUUAUUGGAAGACGAGAAGACCCUAUAGAUCUUUAUAAAAUUAUAUUUAAUUAUUAUUAUAUAAAUAUAAUUAUUUAUUUUUUUAUUUUGUUGGGGUGACAAAAAUAUAUAAUUAACUUUUUUAUUUAUAUAACAUUAAUUUAUGAUUAUAUGAUCCAUUAUUAUUGAUUAUUAGACUAAGUUACCUUAGGGAUAACAGCGUAAUCCUCCUCCAGAGUUCAUAUUUACAGGAUGGGCUUGCGACCUCGAUGUUGGAUUAAGAUAAUAAUUAGGUGUAGCCGCUUAAUUUAUAGGUCUGUUCGACCUUUAA